GGGGUGUGCUCAGAGCAGGGAGUCUGAAGAAAUGGCUCCUCUGUUUACAACACACCCAACAGGAAUCUGGGUUUUUUGUGGCAAUGGGCACAAAUCUUGUGGCCUUCCCUGAACAAAUACCCUACAAGA